rnacentral:rRNA from 1 species
GAUCCUGGCUCAGGAUGAACGCUGGCGGCGUGCUUAACACAUGCAAGUCGAACGAAGCACUUAAGAUUGACUCUUCGGAUGAUUUCUUUUGUGACUUAGUGGCGGACGGGUGAGUAGCGCGUGGGUAACCUGCUUCACACAGGGGGAUAACAGUUAGAAAUGACUGCUAAUACCGCAUAACCCGAUAGGAUCGCAUGAUCCAGACGGAAAAGAUUUAUCGGUGUGAGAUGGACCCGCG